AGCGUGGGGGUCCCUCCGGGACCGAGGCCCGGGCCCCUGUUCUUGCCUCCUUCCCGGGCUCCUGUGUAUAUAUCAUUUCAGUAUUUAUUGCUGAGGGAGGGGACUUAAUUUUUUAAUGGCUUGUGUAUUUUUUUUUUUUUUUUGCAAUUUUUGUUUUUAAACUUUAUGUCCUUCCCCUUCUUUGGGGCUGGAAGAGAAUUAAAUUCAUUUGGAGAAAAAAAAAAUACCGUGUCGUUUGGCUUCAUUCUCUCCCAGCUUGGAUCCUGGCUUUAGGGUCACUCCAGGCCCCUGGAGUCAUCUCCCCGCACCCUGCCUCUUUCUUUCCUUACAUGAAACAGUUCACUUCGGUCCCAGUUACAAGGAUUCUGGCAACAGGCAGCCCAGGGCAGGAACAGCGACCCCACAGAGUCGCCGGGAAGCAGUUACCCAGCAUCUCCUCCUCCUGUCUUCCCUGCAGGCGGCCCUCGUCACGGUGCCAGAUACCAUCAGUGGUGUCCCAGUGGCGUCCCGGGCUGAGAGACCUCGGAGCUACGUGCUCAGUCCCUUCAGAUUAUAAUGAUUUAUUUAUUAGGGCAGCCCGGGUGGCUCAGCAGUUGAGCGCCGCCUUCAGCCCAGGGCCUGAUCCUGGAGACCUGGGAUCGAGUCCCACAUCGGGCUCCCUGCAUGGAGCCUGCUUCUGCUUCUGCCUCCCUCUCUCUCUGUGUCUCUUACUAAUAAGUAAAUAAAUCUUAAAAAAAAAAAAGAGAGUUUAUUUAUUUAUUUAUUUAUUUAUUUAUUUAUUUAUUUAUUUAUUUUAGAGAAACCUUGUGCAGCGAGCAGGGGAGGGGCAGAGGAGGAGGGAGAGGGACAAGCAGAUUCCCUGCUGAGGGAGGAGCCCAGCGCAGGGUUCGGUCUCACAUCCGACCUCCUGACCGGAGUCGGAAUCAAGAGUUGGAGACUUAACUGGCGGAGCCAUGCAGGCACCUUGGUCCUGCCGGACUCUUGAUCCGUCGCUUGAACAUCAUUGGUGACUUAUUCAUUUUAUGAAGAUUAUAAAGCACAGAGGUCAGAGAAUGAUGAUAAAAUAAGCUAAAUGGACAACAACACGAAGGAAGUUUUAAGGGCUGGAUCCAAGAGAAAAGCUUGAAGGCCAUUGUUUUAGUUCCCGAGGGCCAACUUUCUAGGUGUAUCUUAAGCAUCGCGUGUGAAACGUUCCUGGGAAUUCUAAUAAAGUUCGUAUGAGUAGUUGUUAACGACAUAGUUGCAAAAACACUUUUUCUACCAUCCCAACGUGGCUAGUAACCAGGGAAGGUUUUAUUUAUUUUUUAUUUUUCUAUUUUUCCACUUGCACGUAGUCAUUUAUUAACUGACCAGAUUACAAAAAUAAUCAUGGUAGAUACCUGAGUUCAUCCUUCUAAUAAGCCUAUUGAUCUGGUGGGAAGGAGGUGUUAAUGCAGCGUCCGUCUGCCCACACGUGGAGCUUUGUGCAUGACUCGGUGUUGAUUUUGAGGCCUACAGUCACCGAAGGGCAACGAGGAGCUUGGAGGCGCCUUGAGAAGUGGUUGCGAGCAAUGGGGAGGAAGCGGGGGGUGAUGUGCGCCUUAGGGUCAGAAGAGAGAUGAGACCAGUCACCGUUCCCCCAUCACUCAAAUCCUGAGUGUGAUUCCACCCCGGCCGUAGGGCCGGACAGCAGGGAAAUGGCCCAUAGGUGGUGGAUGGGGCACCCACAUGGGGUGCAUUGGUCGGAGAGGGGCCCCACAUGGGGCGACCCUUGGGUGGAAGCUGGGGGCACAGGUGCUGAAAGCAUUCACCUGGGGCAGAAAAAGGAGAGAAGCUUUUGGAGGCACCGCCAGAGAGCAGCAGGCAGGACACCGAGGUGCGCCCCGACCACGCGUGGGAGCGGGCGCUGUGGUGGUCGGGAUGUUCCCUUGUCUGGUGACGGUGCCGGCUGAGGUAGCCCACCGGGCAGGGCCUGUGGAGGUUUGGAGGUGCCCCCAGGGCCUGCGUGGGGGCCGCUGCGGCCUUUCCUGCCUUCCCCGGCAGCGGCCUAAAGACCUCUACGGUGGGGUGAAGCGGGACUUCAGAGAUUCACGAUGAAGCACACGUACACGUGAGCACGCACACGUGUGUACAGUUCACGGGAUGCCUGUGGGCAUGUGCCCCUAGCUUAAAAACUGGGGUGUCACCGGUGUCUUAGAAGCCCUGGUCCUCUCGGGGAGCUCAUUGUACGGUAAUGCCACUUAGACCAUCCUUCUGCCCCAGGAUGCCUGGGUUCUGGGUUCCCUGCUGCAAGCAGGACAGUGUUAAUAUCCUGCCCUGAAUGGCAAGUGUGAGGGUUCCCUUAGUAGCCGCGGUUCUAAAAGACUGGUCCCUCACCAACAACAUCAUCUGGAACUGCAUUUUAAUUCUUUUACUUUUUAGAUUUUUAAAAAAGAUUUUAUUUACUUAUUCAUGAGAGAGAGAGAGGCAGAGACCCAGGCAGAGGGAGAAGCAGGCUCCAUGCAGGGAGCCUGACGCGGGAUUCGAUCCCAGGACCCCAGGGUCACGCCCUGGGCCGAAGGCAGGUGCUCAACUGCUGAACCACCUGGGCAUCUCUUUUUUUUUUUUUUUUUUCAGAGAGAAUGCACGAGAAGGGGGGGCAGAGGAGGAAGGGGCAGAGGGAGAGAAUCUUAAGCAGGUUUCACCUUGAGCCCGGAGCCUGUGUCAGGGCUCAACUUACUGCCCUGAGAUGACUACCUGGGCCAAAACCAAGCAUCAGGUGCUUAAAUGAUUGAGCCACCCAGGUGCCCUGGGAGCCUCUUUUAAUUCCAAAAACAUUUUUUUAUUUAUUUUUAUUUUUUUAUUUUUUUUAGGUUGGAGAGUGCUUUAAUGGGGAGCGCUCCUGGGCGAGGUUCCAUGACUCGGAGAGGUGGCCAGAGUCAGGGAAGUCGCCCAAAAACAUUUUUUAAAAAGAUUUUAUUUAUUUAUUUAUUUAUUUGAGAGAGAGGGAGGGAGAGCUUGAGCAGCGGGGAGAGGGAGAAGCUGGCUGCCCGCUGAGCAGAGAGCUCCACGUGGGGCUCUGUCUCGGGGCUGGGAUCACCACCUGAGUGACGGCAGAUGCUCAACCAGCCGAGUCACCCAGGCGCCCCUUUUAGUGCAAAUUCUUAGGCCCCAAUCCCUGAAUUAGACGCUCAGGGUCAGAGUCCGAUAACCCAUGUUUAAGGAACCGUCUCAGGAAUUCUGCCGCAUGUAGCGCGUGAGAAGCGGUGCCGCAGCAUUAGCACAGCAGCGCACACAGGGUGGAAACACGCUCAACUUUUUUGGAGAAAUACCAAGCAUUUCCAGGGUGACUAUUCCGAUUUAUGCGUCUACGAGACUCAGCGGGUGUGUCUCCCUGGUCCUCCUUACUCUCCUCUAUGUCUUAUUGUUUAGGGUCACAAAUAGAGGAGGCUUCAACGAUGCCCCCUGCGGCCCUAGGCUGCAUUUCUCUAUUAAUGGGCUUGAGCCUCUUCUCACAUGUUUAUGAACUAAUAUUUUCUCCACUAAUAUUUUCUCAUGGUGAAAGGACUACUUGUGUCUUUGCCUACUUCUCUUUGGAUUUCAAAUGGAUUUGUAGGACUUACUUAUUUAUCCUCCG
rnacentral:lncRNA from 1 species